rnacentral:rRNA from 1 species
AUUAUAACACACCCAUAUAAAUAAAUAUUCAUUCACUAUAACCCGAGAUGAACAAACCAUUUUUCCUCCUUAGUACGGGCGACGGAACAGGAGAAUAUAGAGCAAUAGAAAAAGUA